UUAAAAUAUAUGGGAGCAGUUCUCCUAAAUUAACUGCUCUUUUGCAAGCUCUUCGCUCAGGAAAUGGCUCGGGUUACUGGGAAAUUCAAGCUGUGGUGUUAGCAAUUAAUUCUCUCAAGUCUCAUUCUAUUGAUGUUAUGUUUUCCUUAGUUAAGAAGAGAACAGCCAACAAGGCUGCUGAUUUUGUAGCUAAACAAGUUCUUGCAGGGUCCUUGAAUUCAAAAUGUCUAAGAGCCAUCCCACCAGAA
rnacentral:misc_RNA from 1 species